rnacentral:rRNA from 1 species
CGCUGGCGGCGUGCUUAACACAUGCAAGUCGAACGGGAUCCAUCAGGCUUUGCUUGGUGGUGAGAGUGGCGAACGGGUGAGUAAUGCGUGACCGACCUGCCCCCAUACACCGGAAUAGCUCCUGGAAACGGGUGGUAAUGCCGGAUGCUCCGACUCCUCGCAUGGGGUGUCGGGAAAGAUUUCAUCGGUAUGGGAUGGGGUCGCGUCCUAUCAGGUAGUCGGCGGGGUAACGGCCCACCGAGCCUACGACGGGUAGCCGGCCUGAGAGGGCGACCGGCCACAUUGGGACUGAGAUACGGCCCAGACUCCUACGGGAGGCAGCAGUGGGGAAUAUUGCACAAUGGGCGCAAGCCUGAUGCAGCGACGCCGCGUGCGGGAUGACGGCCUUCGGGUUGUAAACCGCUUUUGAUCGGGAGCAAGCCUUCGGGUGAGUGUACCUUUCGAAUAAGCACCGGCUAACUACGUGCCAGCAGCCGCGGUAAUACGUAGGGUGC